rnacentral:lncRNA from 1 species
ACCUUGAAAAUAGCUAGCAGGAUUUGGCAUUUGAUGCAAGAAUCUGGAUGAAACUAGAGGUGCAAUCUCAUCAAGUAUAAAGGAAAGCUUAAAUAGAGCUUCAAUCUCACUUAAGCACAUCUUUCAGCAUUCCCUGGUCUUUUUAAUGGACUAGAGAAUACUAAAGAGGAUGAACCCUAAUUUUCCACACUGAGCAAAUGAUUUGUUUACCUGAAUAAAUCAAAAAGUUUAAUUAAGAAUAUAAUUUAACAUAAUUGGUUUUGCGGGAUUAACUAAUAUAUGCUCACAGUGUAAAAUAUUUCAAAACUAUAAGAUCACUUAAAAGCCAAUAAUUGCUAAAAAUAUUAACUUCAUUAUAAAAAUAAGAUAGCUCAUAGCUGCAAACAAAUCCACGAAUUCCCUGAAUCAGAGGCUGUCAAGAUCAAAUAAUUUAAAAGAAAAAAAAUAGCAGAAAUGCAUUAAAGAUUCAAUUCUUUGAUUUAAGAAAAAAAAAAGGUGUUGUAUUAGCAUAAGUUUUGAACAAGUACUAUUGAAUCUUCAUUUAAUUGUCACUCUGAUUUACAUCCUGAAGAAAUGGAAAAUGGAUGAAGGCAUAAAAUCCAUAAAUAAAACUGCAGAAACAGACAGAAGAUUUUGAAGAGCAACAUAUACAGAACAAUUAACAAGCCUAUACGAAAACUCAGACAAAUUGUAAUAUGGUUACCUUCAAACUGAAGAAUUGCUCAACCCCAGCAGCAGCCUUCAAAAACAUUAAUGUUUACUUAUGUGUUAAUAUUUGUGAAAAUAUUU